AUGUAAUGUUUAUAUGAUAAAAAAAACUUGGGAAAAUUGCCAAAAGAGAAUAAAAAAACCAGGUUGUUGUCCCUUUGGUAUAAAGCUAGUUUUGUCCAUUUUUUCUCCUUUUUACCCUUUGUAUUUCUGAAAACUAAUGAAAUAAAUAAUUUUGAGAAUCAAAAAAAUUAUUAAAAAUAUAAACAAUUAAUAAAACAUCCAUAUACACAAGCUGUUAAUUUUGUUUUGUUCAAAAACUUGGUAAAUAAGAUUUUUAAGAUACGUUCUACUAAAAGUAGAAUGCGUCUUCAACAUAAAAUAGUAUAGUAGAAAACAAUUUCUAAAAUAAACACGUUCAUCUACUUCUUUUAGAACGUCCAUUUUACUAUUUACUAAAUUUCUAAAAAAGAGGAAUGUGCAUUCUACUAAUCGUAAAGGUAUCCACUUUCCUUCCGAAUGCAUCUUCUACGUUUAUAAAGUAUUCUAAAUUUUAGGGAAUGUGUUUUCUACAAUGUACUCUUACGUCUACUCAAAGUAGAAAAUGUAUUCAAAAUUUUUAUCAUUCUUCUAAACUUUUAGAAGUCGCCUUCUACGGAUAAGAAUACCUGAUUUUUUGCGAAAAUUAAUGAAAUUUCAGUUAAGGAAAUAUUAUAAAAAUCUCCUAAAAAUAUUCUAACUUCCUAAAACGUGUUAUGGUCGAUUUUACUUGAAAAAA